ensembl:processed_transcript BC006965 cDNA sequence BC006965
UCCAUGGGAGACAAUGGUACAUUUCCGUGGGACCACUAGCACCCUCAUGACUUGCUUCCUCUUAACACUUACUUUUUAAAAAGGUUACAGAAGUAUGGCCACUGGUUCAUGUAUUCAACAGUUCAGGGGAGCUGUCACCACCGAAGGAAGGAGGAUAGUACUGACAGGGCUGAUGGUAAUGAUGACAUCUAAUGUACAUGGAGCAGCUCCAUCUGCCAGACACUACUGGAGAAUGAAGAAAUGGAAGCAGGAUGUGUCAAGGUCUGAUGGACCUCUUUACCAUCUGGGGAAGAGGGAUGCCUCUAGUGGGAUGAGAAGCGGAACAGCAAAAGCCCAGGUCCAAAGGACACUCUGGAGGAAGUGAUUCUGCUGGAGAGACUCCAUGUGGCUCAUCCCGUACAAAAAGAAUUGUGUUGCUGCAGAUGGUGAGCUGGCUCAGUGGGGAAACGUGAUAGCCAUCAAGCCUCAUGACCUCAGUUUGAUUCCCUGGGACCCACACAGUGGGAACUGACUCCUGCAAGAUGUUCUCUGAGUUCCUCCACAUAGACAAAAAGUGAGAAAAUUCUUUAAAGAACUGCCUUCCUCUUAGCUCAGCCCACAAUCCUCCCAUCCUGCUAAUUAUUCCCAAAUUGAAAAUUAUCAGAAAAGAAGUUAUGCCUUGACCAGAUUUCAAGAUUCCCACUCACGGUCCACUCAAAUGAAGCAGGACC